rnacentral:rRNA from 1 species
UACGAAGGGAGCUAGCGUUGUUCGGAAUCACUGGGCGUAAAGCGCACGUAGGCGGAUUUGCCAGUCAGGGUGAAAUCCCGGGCUCAACCUCGGAACUGCCUUGAUACAGCAAGUCUUGAGUUCGAGAGAGGUGGGUGGAAUUCCUAGUGUAGAGGUGAAAUUCGUAGAUAUUAGGAAGAACACCGGUGGCGAAGGCGGCCCACUGGCUCGAUACUGACGCUGAGGUGCGAAGCGUGGGAGCAACAGG